CGUAUUUCGGUCCUUGCCGCUGGUCCGCCCUUUCGAAGGGUGCGCAUCGGCCGGGAAGGGUUUGUUUGUGCGAAACGCGCUCCUGGGCUUAGGUGUCCGGGACGCGGGUCGUGCGAGGUCACUUUGAGUAAAUUAGAGUGUUUAAAGCAGGCGUGCGCUUUGCAUAUUUCAGCAUGGGAUGACACGAUAGGACUCCGUGUCCGUGCGUCGGUCUGCGGUGCGGGGUAAUGAUCGAUAGAGACGAUCGGGGGCGUUCCUAUUUCGUUGUCAGAGGUGAAAUUCUUGGAUUUACGAAAGAGGAUCAACUGCGAAAGCAUUCGCCAAGGGCGCUCUCGUUGAUCAAGAACGAAAGUUGGGGGAUCGAAGAUGAUUAGAUACCAUCCUAGUCUCAACCAUAAACUAUGCCAAUAGGGGAUCGGCGGGCGUCUUUACGUGUCCUCGUCGGCACCCUGUGAGAAAUCAUAAAUGUGUGGGCUCCGGGGGUAGUAUGGUCGCAAGGCCGAAACUUAAAGGAAUAGACGGAAGGGCACCACCAGGCGUGGAGCCUGCGGCUUAAUUUGACUCAACGCGGGGAAACUUACUAGGUCAGGACAUAGGAAGGAUUGACAGAUUGAUAGCUCUUUCUUGAUUCUAUGGGUGGUGGUGCAUGGCCAUUCUUAGUUCGUGGGUUAUCUUGUCUGGUUGACUCCGUUAACGAACGAGACCUCAGCCUGCUAAAUAGCGGCCUUCUCGCUUAGAGGAGUGCCCGCUUCUUAGAGGGACAGUCGGCGCAAGUCGACGGAAGUUUGAGGCAAUAAUAGGUCUGUGAUGCCCUUAGAUGUUCUAGGCCGCACGCGGGCUACACUGACGCGCUCUGCAAGCGUCCUCGGCCGAGAGGCUUGGGGAAUCUGUGCACACGCGUCGUGAUGGGGCUAGAAUGUUGGAAUUGUUAUU
rnacentral:rRNA from 1 species